rnacentral:misc_RNA from 1 species
UACCUACUACUUAGUACCUACUACUUAGUACCUACUGCAUACUGCUACUACUAUCAUUCGAUAGCUUAGAUUGAAAUGCAUCGAAUCACGUAGAUCGAUGACGACGCCUUCUAGAUCCUUGAGUUCCCCCAAGUUUCCCCGAGAUUCCCCAAGUUUCCCUGAGUUUUCCCGAGUUUCCCGAGUUCCCUGGAUUCCGUGAGCCGAGCUCAUUGAAUCUUCGCACUGUAAUGAUGGGAAACUUGCAAGCAGUCUCUAAUGCCAAUUUCCUUAUCCGUUCUGUUUUCUCUCUCUCUCGUUUUUUAUUUGUUUGUUUGUCUCUUCGACUCUCUUCUUCUUUGGCCAAUAAUAUUUUACAGUCGAACUCAAUCAACGUCGGCUUCCUGCGUUUAUUUCGAGCGGCGCGACUUAUCAAAUUACUUCGACAAGGAUACACGAUUCGAAUUCUGCUGUGGACAUUUGUGCAAUCCUUUAAGGCACUUCCCUAUGUCUGUUUGCUUAUAGCCAUGCUAUUUUUCAUAUACGCCAUUAUUGGCAUGCAGGUGUUCGGGAAUAUCAAACUAGGUACGGUGGAAAAUUCCAUUACUAGACACAACAACUUCCAAUCAUUUGAGCAAGGCGUCAUGUUGCUAUUCAGGUGUGCAACUGGCGAGGCCUGGCCCAACAUAAUGCUGGCAUGUUUGAAGGGCAAGGCCUGCGACGAUGACGCCGAGAAGGCACCUGGGGAGUACUGCGGAUCCACACUGGCCUACGCCUACUUCGUAUCGUUUAUAUUCUUCUGCUCCUUCCUGAUGCUGAAUCUGUUCGUCGCCGUCAUCAUGGAUAAUUUCGAUUAUCUCACCAGGGACUCCAGCAUAUUGGGUGCCCAUCACUUAGACGAAUUUGUGCGCAUAUGGGCGGAAUAUGAUCCAAAUGCGACUGGAAAGAUACACUACACGGAAAUGUACGACAUGCUGAAGAACAUGGAUCCACCGUUGGGCUUUGGCAACAAGUGUCCCAAUCGACUGGCCUACAAGAAACUGAUUAGAAUGAAUAUGCCACUGGACGAUGAAUUGAGAGUUCAGUUCACCACAACGUUAUUCGCUUUGAUUCGCGAGAAUCUCAGCAUCAAAAUGAGAGCGCCUGAGGAGAUGGACCAGGCGGACAUGGAACUGCGGGAGACCAUCACGAACAUCUGGCCAUUGCAGGCGAAGAAGAUGCUGAACCUGCUGGUCCCGCCCAGCGAUCAGCUCAACAAGGGCAAACUGUCAGUGGGUAAAAUCUAUGCAGGUUUCCUCAUCCUGGAGUCCUGGCGCAGCACGCGGUUCGGCCAACUCGAUUCGGGAAUGCCGCGGAAGAAGCUGGAGCACGACGAUGAGCAUAAAUAUAGCCCAACGGCAGUCGAGGAGCCGAAACAAUCAUUCUUUAACUGCCUCCUCGAUAUGGCCGCCCUUGACAAAGGAGGAUCGCGUCAGGGCUCCAUAAGUUUCGAGCCGAAUGGGGAAGGAGCCGCCAACUCACAAACACAUUUGUUAGCCAGCACGCACCACCACCACGCAAACGGUGAUGCCGAACACAACAGUUUGGCAACACUGGCACGGCGGAGUACGAUCAGAAAGCGAUCAGUUAGAAACAAAAAGGUGAAUAAGUUUGAUAAACUCCAAGCGAUGCUGGAGCUGCAGGACGCAUCGAGACACCCAUCGCAGGAGUCGCUAACCGGUGCCGAUGCUGGCCAUCUACAUCCUGGACAUUCGUACAUGAAUGGCCAUCGGCGAUCGCCUAGCCUGAGGCACAACGGCUCUCCACUGGCCAGAUCUCCGAGUCCUCGACGGCGUGGCCAUCAAUACAUACAUCAUGAUAUCGGGUUCUCCGAUACCGUAUCUAAUGUUGUAGAGAUGGUCAAGGAGACUCGCCAUCCUAGGCAUGGCAACAGUCAUCCGCGGUAUCCAAGAGGUUCAUGGUCAGCAUCGACAAGUCCGGCCCGUUCGCCUUCGCCUUCUCGAUAUGGUGGUCAUUUGUCUCGCAGUAAACGCACUCAACUGCCUUAUCCCACAUAUGGGACAACCAGUCUAUGUCAAAGAUCACGAUCGCCGAGUCCCGCUAGACUUCAGGAGAUGCGUGAACGAGACAGACUUGGUUAUGGGAUUGAUAUGGGUGUAACGCAUGUACAGCACAGUUACCCUACACUGGCCUCCCGAAGAGCCGGCAUCGGAAGACGGCUUCCUCCGACGCCCAGCAAACCGUCAACACUGCAGCUCAAGCCAACCAAUAUCAAUUUCCCCAAACUGAAUGCCAGUCCCACACAUACACACCACUCAACGCCCCACAGUGUUCACUCGCUACCACACCACCGCGACCUGCUGCGAGAUCCGAGGGACAUGUACUACAGUAGUAGAGAACGCGAGCGGGAUCGCGAACGCCUUAGGGAUCGGGAUCGGGAUCGGGAUCGCGAGAGGGAUCGCGAUCGCCUGCACGAGUACGACCUGCGCUACGAGUACCGGGAUCGGGAGCGGGAGUUGUACGAGCGCGAAAGAGAUCGCGAGCGGGAGGUCGAAAGAGAAAGACUGGAAUAUAUAGCACCGCUGUCAUUCGAACAAGCGCUGGCUAUGGGCCGAACAGGUCGUGUACUGCCAUCUCCAGUUCUAAAUGGUUUUAAGCCAAAGAGUGGUCUGAACCCUCGACACUCCGAUUCGGAUGAGGAGGAUUGGUGCUAGCAAAGGCUUUGAUUGCGAUCGCGUAAUCGAAAGGAUCAGAUCUGGGUAUAGCAUCAGGCCAUUUGCUCCUCGUUGUCAGCACCAAACUUAGAUCACAAUUUUGAUACGAUACGACACAGCUAUCAGAUACCCGAACAUCAGCGAACCCAUCCAUACCUUUGUCCACUAGUACACCAACACCAACACCAACAUUUACACCAACACCUACACCACCUACACCAACGACCACACCAAGAGCAGCACCUAUAUCAAAGCUUACAGGAAUUAAACCCAAAUCGACAACCGCAAUCGCAACAGAAGCAGGAGCAACAAUUUCAUCAGGAUGGGUGGCUCAGAUGGUACCGGCAAGCGGUUCCAUACGGAUCCCCGGUGAUGGCAUCAUUACCGGAGACCAGAACAACAUCGCCCCACUCCGAUAUCGAAUUCAUUAGAAAUAUGAAGAGAAGUGAAACCGGAACAACUGCAAUAACACCAAGGACAACUAAAACUGAAGCAAUGAUAUUAAGCGUACCAAUUACAAUAACGUCCCCAUUAGCUAUUAAAAAGAUAUAUUCAGAUAAUGACAUUAAUUAUAAUACCGAACGAGGAACUGACAAUGACAGAGUGGAGGAUGCACCAGCUCAUCAUUAUCGCCAGCCAGAACUAACUACACCAGAUCUACAACAACACGAGCCACCACUGCAGCAGCAGCACCAUCAGCACGAUCCGCAGUAUUCGUAUCAUACGCUCUAAGGAGGACAGGAUCAAGAACGAGCAUCCAUUAUCCAAAGUUCAUAGUCCAGACACCAGUAUUCAGUAUCCAGAAUCCAGAGACUAGUAUCCAGAAUACAGAAUCCAGUAUCCAGAAUCAAGUAUCCAGUAUCCAGAAUCAAGUAUCCAGAAACCAGAAAGCAGAUCCACUAAAAGUGCAACUUUAAUUGAAACUCAAACUGAAACUGAAACCGAAACCGAAACGAGGUGUAAUGAAUGUGUGAGAGACCCUAUUCCACGCAAUGGGAGUAGAAGUGGGGAGAUUGUAAACAGAUUAGAGCUACUAUUUGCUUAGAAAUAGGAGUAGACAAGAACAUAAUUUUAGAUAUGAAUAUGAUCAAGUGUAUUGUACUUUUUUUUAAUGUAAGGGCAAGUCUAGACGAAGAGCACAUCAAAAUGAAGCUAACGACGAUAACAGAACUCUUUCAAGCAGAACACACACACACACACACACACACACACAUAGAUCUAGGUCGAAAAUACAUAGGAAAUAAAGAUUGUAGGUACUCGCAUACAUUGUAAGUUAUCUAGGAUUUAGCUCGAGGAAUCGGUACGAUAAUCUGCAAGCGUUUUUGACUUGUUUGUAUUUAAAGUUAGUCAUUCAAUUGUAUGUGUACUUAAAUGCGGCAUUUUAUUUAUUCAAUGUACAUACCAGAUAAUUGUAGAUAUCAAAUAGCUUCUUUUUUUUUUUGUUUUUUUUUUUGUAUGUGUAUGUAAUAUAUUUACCUACGACUACUAUUAUAAAUACUUUCAUCAAAACGAAACCCGAUAGCGAAUAUUAGCGCAAUUUAAUGCCCUACGAUUUGUAUAUUCAGUUCUGUAUUUAUACUCGUGCGGAUACUUUUUUCAAUGAUUAGAAGAACUCCACACUAUAUGGCAAAUCCAUCAUAUUGAAUCCGAAACUAAAUCCAAAUAACUCAAUUAUGACCAAAGCAAGUAUCUGUAAAGUAAGCAUCGUUCAGUGCCAUUUGUGUAUACAGACUUUAGCAAUUUACAAUAGCUUAUUUAUCAUAAUCUUUCCCUUAGCAAAUGGAACGUUGUAUUCAUAGUUUUCAUAGUUUUCAUAGUUACUCUGUAAUCUGCAAGAAUCUGCGAAGAAAGGUUUAUGCUUCUGUUAAUGUAUUUCGUAUGCUGAAAUUAGCUCCUCGCAAACUUUCCGAUCAGUUGAAAGAACUCGAUGUCCAUAUGUAUUUAUAUAUAACGAGCAGGCCAUUGUUUCCACAAAACAUAAACAUGUGUAGAUAUAAUAUAUACACCUCCGACUCCUCAUACUCGAAUUGAAUGUGUAAAAAUGUAAUGUGUAAAAAUGCAGAGCUCAUGGCACACCAAACGUAAUGAUGUAUUCAAAUAUAUAGCCAUGCACACAGCCCCUCCAA